AAGGUUGGAAAAUCCCACUUUACUUCAAGUGAAGUCACUGGGUUGUCCCCAUGAAAUAUCUCCACAAUGGGUGUGCUAGACCUUUACUCUCUGUGGCACCACCAAGACCCCCUCACCCUGCCAGAGCCCUCUGAAGUGUACUCAGAAUGGAGGGGCUGGAAGUGGGGCCAGUGGUCCUGGUAGUCAGCCUCCCCUUCUGACACAAGAAUUAUCGUGGAACAGCUUGUGUGACCGAUCAACUGGUCUCUCCAUCUUUAAGCCAUUGUCUUGUUGACUCUGUUACUGCAGAGUUUGGGGAGGUCUCAUGGCUUCUCGCAUCCUAUUUCCUGAGCUUCCCUGAAGCCAACUUCUGGCCACUGGUAUGUGAUGCGAGCACAGUGCCUCCUCCUGCUCCUCCAGGAAGCUUCUGCUGAUUGAACGCAGGCCAGAUGGCGAGAUCCGGAGCAACCUUCUUAGAUCAAGGGAAGAAAGGGGCAUUUACUCGGGUGGCUGGGCGAGGGCGGAAUACUACCUUCCAGCUGUCUGAGAUUAAGCAGAACAGCAGCUAAAGCAGUAACAGCAGGUCUCCUUCAGCAGCUUGCCACAGGGAAGAGGGUCCCGCGUGAACCGAACUCAACUUCCACCUGCGCAGAGGUAGCUACCAUUUGCGUAGAGGUAGCUGGGUCUUUAAGGUUAGAGGGAAGGCGCAGGGAGGGAGAGACGGCGGGUGGGGGUUGAACAAAGUGGAGAUUCACAAAAGCAGACUAGGGCGGGCGACGUGAUCAGAUGACCUGUGCGGGCGGCAGCCUCCUGCCCUCCUCCCCUUCGUGCGCCGGCUGGAGCGAAGAGUUCUUUUGACAGCCGUGAGCUUCCCCGCCAGGAACUUACUGGGGCUGCAUCACCCUAGAAACGUGGCUUUGGGCUGUGGAAACGCUGCCUCUGUGGAAGUCUCUCCUCGCGGGGGUGGACGGGUCGCUGCGCGCCCAGCGUUCUUCUGCGGUUCUCACAGCCCGCCGCCGCCGCCGCCUCGGGGACCUUUGCGGGGAGGCCUCAGGUCAGCGCCGCCCUUGCGAUGGCGGGAGAGCAGAGCGGCCCCAGGGCCUCUGAGCUCCGGCCCCGGCACGUCCCGCCCUCUCCUCCGCUUGCGGGAGCCGGGGCGCCUCGGAGGGAAACCUUCCGGACACAGGCCGGGAGAAGAGGGGCCGUGGCGCCAUCGCGCAGCUUCCUGGUUUCGGCCAUGUUUUUUUUUUUUUGAGACGGAGUUUCGCUCUUUUUGCCCAGGCUGGAGGGCAAUGGCGCCGUCUCGGCUCCCUGCAGCCGCCGCCUCCCGGGUUGAAGGGACUCUCCGGCCUCAGGCCGCGGUGUUCUUGUAAAUUAGAACCGGCCUAUGCGCCAAGCGCGGGUCUCGCGGCUGCGGAGAGAGGCCCAGCAGGGGGCGGGGAC
rnacentral:lncRNA from 10 species